rnacentral:rRNA from 1 species
AUUGAACGCUGGCGGCAUGCCUUACACAUGCAAGUCGAACGGCAGCACGGGAGCAAUCCUGGUGGCGAGUGGCGAAUGGGUGAGUAAUAUAUCGGAACGUGCCCAGUAGUGGGGGAUAGCCCGGCGAAAGCCGGAUUAAUACCGCAUACGACCUGAGGGUGAAAGCGGGGGAUCGCAAGACCUCGCGCUAUUGGAGCGGCCGAUAUCAGAUUAGCUUGUUGGUGGGGUAAAAGCCUACCAAGGCGACGAUCUGUAGCUGGUCUGAGAGGACGACCAGCCACACUGGGACUGAGACACGGCCCAGACUCCUACGGGAGGCAGCAGUGGGGAAUUUUGGACAAUGGGCGCAAGCCUGAUCCAGCCAUGCCGCGUGCGGGAAGAAGGCCUUCGGGUUGUAAACCGCUUUUGUCAGGGAAGAAACGGCUCUUGAUAAUACCGAGAGCUAAUGACGGUACCUGAAGAAUAAGCACCGGCUAACUACGUGCCAGCAGCCGCUGCAG